GUGGGGAAUAUUGGACAAUGGGCGAAAGCCUGAUCCAGCCAUGCCGCGUGUGUGAAGAAGGUCUUCGGAUUGUAAAGCACUUUAAGUUGGGAGGAAGGGCAGUAAGUUAAUACCUUGCUGUUUUGACGUUACCAACAGAAUAAGCACCGGCUAACUUCGUGCCAGCAGCCGCGGUAAUACGAAGGGUGCAAGCGUUAAUCGGAAUUACUGGGCGUAAAGCGCGCGUAGGUGGUUCAGCAAGUUGAAGGUGAAAUCCCCGGGCUCAACCUGGGAACUGCCUCCAAAACUACUGAGCUGGAGGACGGUAGAGGGUAGUGGAAUUUCCUGUGUAGCGGUGAAAUGCGUAGGUAUAGGAAGGAACACCAGUGGCGAAGGCGACUACCUGGACUGAUACUGACACUGAGGUGCGAAAGCGUGGGGAGCAAACAGGAUUAGAAACCCUGGUAGUCC
rnacentral:rRNA from 1 species